rnacentral:rRNA from 1 species
ACUCCUACGGGAGGCAGCAGUGGGGAAUAUUGGACAAUGGGCGAAAGCCUGAUCCAGCAAUGCCGCGUGAGUGAAGAAGGCCUUCGGGUUGUAAAGCUCUUUUACCCGGGAAGAUAAUGACUGUACCGGGAGAAUAAGCCCCGGCUAACUCCGUGCCAGCAGCCGCGGUAAUA